GCCUUGCUGCUGUUCACCGGGAAAUGCUCGUGCAAGCCAGUUCCGGUUUGUUCCUCAAGAGCCUGUAGACCCACAACUUUAUGGAGCAAAGGGGGUUUCUCGAUGUCAAGAUCAAUCAAAUUUAUUUCAGUCUCGAUAUCCAACUUUAUCGGAGAGUCAUGUUUUCCGCCCUGGCUAUCUCUUGCGCGAGAUUUAUAGAAGACGGGUCACAAACAUCAGUUUGUAGGCCUCCAGUGAUGUUCAGUGACCAGUCCAUUGCUGGGUUUGCAUGAUGUUUCAGCAUCCAGAAAAGUGAACAGUUGACAAAUGCAACAGCUUCCAGUCCAAAAAAAUGUUACUGAGAAUAAAAAUGCUCUCUGCAUCUAUGAGCUCCCUCAUCACUCAGCAUCACAAAUUUUUAGAGCUCCUUCUAAGAUUAUGCACUGCCCAGGAAAACAUUUGAAAACCAUUUUCAGGGAGCAGGAGACAUAAUAGGCAACUGCGUUCAGUCGGACAGAUGGGCGUCUGCUAAAUAAAAUUGUAUUAUUAUUUUAUUAUUAUUAUUAUAUUUGGAAGCAAGUAGUUUAUCAGAAGGAAAACAGAGCCUAGUGCAACCUGCUACUUAUGUGGCUGGCUGAUGAUGGGGGAAGUGAGAUGGGGAUAGAAAGGACAGAAAAGUGAAACAGGAGGAAUCAGUUGGAACAUGAGAAGAAAGGACACCACAGACAAGACAAGCAACCAUCACCCCUAUACUCUCUAGCCCUGCCAGCAAAUGUUGUGGUAUAUGCCCAGAAUAAAAAUGAAGGAUCAUUCCUCAAAAACUGGAGAAGGCUGAAUUGUUAGGCAUUUUGCAUCUGGAUUCAUAUCUGGCUUCAGGAGCUGCGGAGAGGUGGGGCAUUAAAAGCAGUAUGAUACUUUUGUCAAAAUUACUUUCAAUUUCAUCUGUUAUACAAUAAUUCCUGGGAUUUGUCAAAAUGACCUAGGAGAAAGAGCUUUCAGAAAAAACUUUCAUGUUGUCUUGACCUAGAAAAACUGCCCUGGAAUUACAGAGAAACUCCUGAGCCUCUUCUUCUAAGAGAUAACUGCAAAACUCUACUCACUCUUUCAUAGCUCUUUAUGUAAGGGUUGGGAAUGUCUCAAUAGUAAAUUGUGGUUCUGAUUUAGCAUUCAUGAAAAUAUGAAUGAAACAAGUGUGCAAUUUUCUGG